rnacentral:sRNA from 1 species
GAACAUUAAUGUGAGCUAUCCCGAAUGGCUGAGCCCUGAAGAGGACCUGAACUUUGUAACAGACACUGCCAAGGCCCUGGCAGAUGUGGCCACGGUGCUGGGACGUGCUCUGUAUGAGCUUGCAGGAGGAACCAACUUCAGCGACAGAGUUCAGGCUGAUCCCCAAACGGUUACCCGCCUGCUCUAUGGGUUCCUGAUUAAAGCCAACAACUCAUGGUUCCAGUCUAUCCUCAGGCAGGACCUAAGGUCCUACUUGGGUGACGGGCCUCUUCAACAUUACAUCGCUGUCUCCAGCCCCACCAACACCACUUAUGUUGUACAGUAUGCCUUGGCAAAUUUGACUGGCACAGUGGUCAACCUCACCCGAGAGCAGUGCCAGGAUCCAAGUAAAGUCCCAAGUGAAAACAAGGAUGUGAGUGGUGGUGGGUGUUGGAAGUGCCCUGGGGCCCCUUUCCCUUGGGAAAGUUGGAGGUUCUUCUAGACCUAGUUAGACCCAGGGGAUUGGGAUGGAGAGGUAGAAAGAUGCAUUCCUCAGCAAUUGGGUGUUGAAAAGCCUGGAUGAAAAUGGACCAUCUGAAGGGUAAAGGGACAG